rnacentral:rRNA from 1 species
UACAGAGGUCUCAAGCGUUGUUCGGAUUCAUUGGGCGUAAAGGGUGCGUAGGCGGCGCGGUAAGUCGGGUGUGAAAUCUCGGAGCUUAACUCCGAAACUGCAUUUGAUACUGCCGUGCUUGAGGACUGGAGAGGAGACUGGAAUUUACGGUGUAGCGGUGAAAUGCGUAGAUAUCGUAAGGAAGACCAGUGGCGAAGGCGGGUCUCUGGACAGUUCCUGACGCUGAGGCACGAAGGCCAGGGGAGCAAACGG